rnacentral:rRNA from 1 species
CCUGAUCCAGCAAUGCCGCGUGUGUGAAGAAGGCCUUCGGGUUGUAAAGCACUUUUGUCCGGAAAGAAAUGGCUCUGGUUAAUACCUGGGGUCGAUGACGGUACCGGAAGAAUAAGGACCGGCUAACUACGUGCCAGCAGCCGCGGUAAUACGUAGGGUCCAAGCGUUAAUCGGAAUUACUGGGCGUAAAGCGUGCGCAGGCGGUUGUGCAAGACCGAUGUGAAAUCCCCGAGCUUAACUUGGGAAUUGCAUUGGUGACUGCACGGCUAGAGUGUGUCAGAGGGGGGUAGAAUUCCACGUGUAGCAGUGAAAUGCGUAGAGAUGUGGAGGAAUACCGAUGGCGAAGGCAGCCCCCUGGGAUAACACUGACGCUCAUGCACGAAAGCGUGGGGAGCAAACAGGAUUAGAUACCCUGGUAGUCCACGCCCUAAACGAUGUCAACUAGUUGUUGGGGAUUCAUUUCCUUAGUAACGUAGCUAACGCGUGAAGUUGACCGCCUGGGGAGUACGGUCGCAAGAUUAAAACUCAAAGGAAUUGACGGGGACCCGCACAAGCGGUGGAUGAUGUGGAUUAAUUCGAUGCACGCGAAAAACCUUACCUACCUUGACAUGCCACUAACGAAGCAGAAUGCAUUAUGUGUCGAAAAAAGUGGAAAGGUGUGAUGUGUGUCGCUCUGUCGGAAUUUGGUAGUCCCACACG